GGUAGGGUCGGCAACCAGGUAGCCUAGAGAAGGUAGGGCCGGCAACCAGGUAGCCUGGAGAAGGUAGGGUCGGCAACCAGGUAGCCUGGAGAAGGUAGGGUCGGCAACCAGGUAGCCAAGAGAAGGUAGGGUCGGCAACCAGGUAGCCUAGAGAAGGUAGGGUCGGCAACCAGGUAGCCUAGAGAAGGUAGGGUCGGCAACCAGGUAGCCAAGAGAAGGUAGGGUCGGCAACCAGGUAGCCUGGAGAAGGUAGGGUCGGCAACCAGGUAGCCUGGAGAAGGUAGGGUCGGCAACCAGGUAGCCAGGAGAAGGUAGGGUCGGCAACCAGGUAGCCUAGAGAAGGUAGGGUCGGCAACCAGGUAGCCAAGAGAAGGUAGGGUCGGCAACCAGGUAGCCAAGAGAAGGUAGGGUCGGCAACCAGGUAGCCAAGAGAAGGUAGGGUCGGCAACCGGGUAGCCUGGAGAAGGUAGGGUCGGCAACCAGGUAGCCAAGAGAAGGUAGGGUCGGCAAUCAGGUAGCCAAGAGAAGGUAGGGUCGGCAACCAGGUAGCCUAGAGAAGGUAGGGCCGGCAACCAGGUAGCCUAGAGAAGGUAGGGCCGGCAACCAGGUAGCCUAGAGAAGGUAGGGCCGGCAACCAGGUAGCCUAGAGAAGGUCGGGGAAAAUCAGAAGGGAUUUGUGCUGACUACUUGAGGGUUUUUAGUGAUGUCUGUGUGUGUAAUGGGAAGAGUUGGGUACAGGAGCAGACACAUUUCUUGUCUCCUAUAUGGA